CCUACGGGAGGCAGCAGUGGGGAAUAUUGCACAAUGGGGGAAACCCUGAUGCAGCGACGCCGCGUGAGUGAAGAAGUAUUUCGGUACGUAAAGCUCUAUCAGCAGGGAAGAAAAUGACGGUACCUGACUAAGAAGCCCCGGCUAACUACGUGCCAGCAGCCGCGGUAAUACGUAGGGAGCAAGCGUUAUCCGGAUUUACUGGGUGUAAAGGGAGCGUAGACGGCAGCGCAAGUCUGGAGUGAAAUCCCAUGGCUUAACCAUGGAACUGCUUUGGAAACUGUGCAGCUAGAGUGCAGGAGAGGUAAGCGGAAUUCCUAGUGUAGCGGUGAAAUGCGUAGAUAUUAGGAGGAACACCAGUGGCGAAGGCGGCUUACUGGACUGUAACUGACGUUGAGGCUCGAAAGCGUGGGGAGCAAACAGGAUUAGAUACCCUAGUAGUC
rnacentral:rRNA from 1 species